rnacentral:lncRNA from 1 species
UGGUUUACUUUACACAAUUUUUAAAAAAUCUAUUUUGGAAUCAAUUAUUCUAGAGUAGGUAUUAGAGUCCAAACUUCUGCAGCCACAAAUACUUAAUCAACUUCAGAUGAAGUUGAUCAAGAUGAAAGGCUAUAAAGAUAUAAAGAUAUGGUGGAUGUUCAAUUGGAUAGUUGGAGAUUUACAACAAUAAAUGACCACCAAGUGGAUGGAUGGCUUGGAGAUGCAUAAGGACCCGUCGAGAAGAGCUAGUGAUUUGAUGAGUUGUGUGAGGCAAAGAAAGUAAAUCAGGAAUGGAUGGCUUUGUUAUCAAUGCGAAUGAGAUGCAUAAAUAUUGUUUCUUGGAAUCCUCUUAUCUUCAUCAAUUAUUGAAGAAAACAUGGACUCACAAUCCCCUGUUAGAUGACAAAUAUCUUUUACUCUUCCCUUACAAUGUUCGAGACAGAUGCAUCUGGUUUCUAAAUUUGUGGAAAACAUGUUGAUGCUCAAGUGACAGCAUCUUGCUGUCUCCAGAGAAAUGAGUCAUAGAUUGCUGGUUCUUCUGUCCAAAUGCAGCAAUAUAUGUGAAGGUGUGCCAUGAAUGGCAUAUUAGUGAGGCCAAUUAGGGGGAGCACUAUUGGGGAGAUUUAAGCAAUCGUGGAGGGAAAAAUAAUGGGUUUGAAGUAUAGAGAUAGCAAACUGUUUGCCUUGGGAAUUCGGCAUACUAACUAUGAGUUUGAAAAUCCUGUUUCUACUAACUAUUCUUGUAAUGCCGAGGAGGUAGCAUGGGUCCUCAAGCCCCUUGUUGGGCAUUAAGAUCCCCUGCUGCAACUGGAGGUUUCAGACUUCUAUGGAGAAUAUACCUUGAAGUAUUUCUGAAUGGACUUCGGAGCAUGGAAGAGUUCUUCAUCGGUCAUCGAUUAUUGAAGGAUGGAAGGUGUGAUAUGCCACAACAAAAUUAAAGCGAGUUGUAAAGUCAUAACCCAUCAUAUACUGAGAGAGGUACUUGUUCAUUUAUGUGUAAGACUAGAAUAUAAACCUUCAUGUUUAUGUAUUAAGUGCUGUUUGGCACUAUAUUAGAUGAAAUAUCUUGGACUUCUGCUUUUUAGCAAUAAUUAGGUAGAAUCACAUUUAUGAACCCUUAAGUUAUGAGAAAUGCUUAAGCAUAUUAAAUAUGCAAUUUUGACCCAAGCCUAAAAAAUUGAAAAUUGUAAUAAAGUUGGUGAUCAACUUUUUAUUCUCCUGGAAGUUGAAUAUUUUUAAAAGUAUUCUUAUUACACUCAAAUAUGAGGCAAUUUCUUACUUGCAUGCAAUAUCUUAAGAUAUUUGGUUGAAUAAUAUUUCAUGUAUACAAGUUUUCUAUAUCAAUCUCCUGUCUCUUGUAGUCUGUCUGCUGAAGUGAAUUUCCUGCAUGCUGGGUCAGUAAGUUGGACUCUAUUUAGGCCUGCUAAGUAGGUUGACCAACCAAUCUUGCCUAUAAAUAGAGGCAAGAUGGGGAAGCCAGCUGGGAAAGGAAGGGUUGCUAAGCUAGAGAGAGGAGCAAAUUUGUCAUUUUCAAGCAUCCGCAUAUAGAUACUCUAAACGUAAGGGUCUUCUCCAAAAUUUUUAAUUGCUUUGUAGGUCAGUCUUCUAUGCUUUUCGGAUUUGAGAUUCUUAAAUUUCCUUUCCAUUUUAACGUCUUACCACAUUCAAAUUUGUCAUCUGAAAUUCUAAUAUCCACCACUCUUCUGAGUUUUGACAAUAUAUGGUUUCCUUUGAAACCAAUCUGUCCAUGUGUUUAGGAAUUAGGUUUUAUUUGUGCUUUUAAAACUUGUAGUCAAUAUCAAGUGUGCGUGCUACUUCAAAGUUCUACAUCUCA